UAUACACAACAUUAAUGCUGAUAGUCAAAAGCGCCAAAGACUUAUUUAAUUUCACCACUUACCAAACUUCUUAACUUAUGUAUCUCUCACUCAGUCUUUCCUGAAUGGCUUAAAAUCGCUAUUGUUGUGCCAGUCCACAAAAAAGUGAAUUUCAAUAUGGAUUCCGGAAAAAUCGCUCCACUAUCGAGCCUGGUCGACUUCAUCACCAAUUGCUUUGAAACUAACCAUAUUGCUGCUGCCACCUUUUUGGCCCUCUCGAAGGCGUUUGAUUGAGGCUGAGGACCUACAAUCAGCAAUUGUUAGUAAUAGGGAGUCUCGGUCGGAAGCUUUUGAUUGGUUCCGGGAGAACGAACUUCUUCUGAACACCGAAAAAACAGUUAAUGUCCUUUUUCUCAUUAAAAAAACGAACAGUGGACUUUUCAUACUCAGAAAUUUAAAAGACAUUGUUCCCACUAUGGUGCUUAAGGCUGGCGUCUGGUUCGGUUUAGCCCUAUACUAAAUACAUUGAAAACAUCGUCGCGGUUUCCGGAGUUGCAUUUUAAAAGUAUGAGAUAUAUCGCUUUAAAAAAAUUAUAUUUCGAAUUAACAAACUUCAGUCCAGGGGACCUCCAUAUUUAUAUUCAUAUCUAGUAUGCAGUUUUUACAAAAAAAAAUUAUAAAGUUGAACAACUUUUACAUCACAUUUUAACCGGUACAUUGAUGCAUUUUUUGACGAAGUGCUGAAGUUUUUGGCAUUCUGAGAUAGGAGGUCCCCUUGGGAAAAGUGUCAGCUUUCUUUUGAUACCAUUUAUAACAUUAAAAAAUCCACGACUGAGGUAAAUAACUCGCGAAAAGUCAAAAUCUAUUGAAACGAGAAAUCGGCAUUAAACGAGCUGUGAUGCGGUAGCAGAAUGCAGGUUUACUUAGAUUCUGACUUGGUUGGAGAUUUCAGUAUUUUAAAAAUGCAACUCCGGAAACUACGACGAUGUUUUCAAUGUAUUUAGUAUUGGGCGAAACCGAACCAGACGCCACCCUUAAAUCAGCUUACUACGCUUUAUGUGAAUCACAUCUCUUGUAUGGUAUCCUCGUAUGGGGUCGCUCUAGCAUACGUCAUCACCUAUUCUCCUUACAAAGAAAAGCAAUGCGAAUCUUAGCCAAUAUUAACUAUAGGGACGAUUGUAAAGAGCAAUUUAAGAAUCUCCAAAUUCUGACCUUACCAUGUAUUUAUAUACUUAAAAUUUCCUUUUAGGGAAAGCAUAUUACGAGUUCUCAGAGUUCAUUAAUGACGAUUGCACUUUUUACAAUUCUUGAACUGUAAUUCUAAUUUGUUCAUAUGUUUUCUGUAUGUUGUAUUUUAUACUUUGUAUAUUUUGUAUAUUUUGCA